rnacentral:lncRNA from 1 species
AUCUGACAAAUGUUAUAAGUGCUACACUCAUGAACUUUUCAUCCAUCAACUUUGUCUUGCUCACUAUGCUUAAGGUCAGAGAAGAACACAUACACUUUAGGUUCUGUUGGUGUUUUCCACCAACAGGACCCAUGCACUUGAUCUCUGCCUUGUCUCUAUGAGCAGGUACACUUUGGGCAAAACACGGAGGAGUUUUAUAACUCUCAGACUCUACCAAGUGAAGGACCUGGAUCUACGAGCACAAACACACUGAGCAGGUUACUGCCAACGUCGCACUUCGAACUGAUGGGCAAACGAAGAACAUGGGUGACACCGUAUCAAGAGGUGCAGACGUCAAGGUCCGCACCUGAAUCAAAUGACGCACCUGAAGAAUGAACACGGUGAGAAGUCUUGUUAAGAAGACUUAAAACAUUGAACCCUCACCGAAAGGUAAGAUCGGUAGUUAUCCAUAUUUAUCCUUUCUGCAUUCCCUUUUUCCUUUAAUUCUUUACUUUCCUUAAAUAGAUUAUUAGUUAAUCAUGCUAUCUUGAAAAGAAAAUAAAAAUGUUAAAAAAUACUAAGCCCCAUGUGAGUAUACGAGUGGCAUAAAACCCAUAAGUACCUUCACUGUGGUGGCAUAAAAAUAAAAUAAAUAUUUCUUUUCUGCUUUAUAAAAUAAAAAUAUAAAAACAGGGAGUAAUAUUUAUUGAGGAAGCUCAACAAGAUGAAGGCUAGAUAUUUAUACUAACACUUAAUUAGUUCCACAAGUUUGAUGUCUAUUUGAGCUUCACAGAAUUUAAGAAUCAAGAAGACUAGCAGACGGAGGACAUUCUAAUCGUUGUCAGAAUGCUGCUGACUUUCAAAUACACCUCUGCCACCUGCUAGCUACAUCAAGAGAAAUUACGUCAAAAUUCAGCUUGGGGGAGAGCACCCCCAUUUAUCUCGCUAAGUAUUUCUACCUAUCUUUAUACUUAUAUUAUAUUAGAAUAUUAAAAUACAUAAACUAUGAAAAACCAAAUAAAGAUUUUGUGCUUAUAUAUAUAUAUCUUUUGCUUAGUGUGUUUAAUAAAUAAAUAAAGUGGCUAUGCUAAUCUGAAUCUUAAUAAUAAAACUUUAGCAUGGAUAUGAUGAAUAGUUGCUCUGCCUAAUUUGCAAAUUUGAAGUUCUCUCUCAAGUUUAGACAUAACUGUUAUAAUUUAAAGCUUGCUCUAGAUCUAAACUUGUGGGAUGAAAACUUGAUCUGAAAUCUAAGUUGUUAACGGAUAUGAUAUGGGAAGGUUGAGCUGCUGUUUAUCUGUUCCUAGAGAUGCUAGAAUUCUGGAGAAUUUUAUCUUUGAAAAAUCUUUAAAAUAUUGCAUGAUGAGUUCCUAUAUGAUGAGAGUUUAAAUUCCUACCAAAGCCAUAUAUAUAUGCUUGCUAGACUUUGAGCCACACAUUUAUUAUUUACUGCUUAUGAGCAUUGAGUGUGGUCAAGCUGUGUAGACCCUUAGGAGCUUGUCAUGUGGUUAAAUCAAGAUUCACUUGCACAUUCACUCAUAUAUGCUACUUCUACUCCGGAAGUACCAUCCACAUAUAUCCAUGUCCAUCUCCAGAACCACCCAAAAAUAUUCUACUCCUAAUCCGGGAGAGAAUAGCCAAAAAUAUUUCUGUUUUCCCUUGUGAAAUAAAUGGUCAAGUUAUCUUGCUACUACCACUUGCUAUAUUAUCUCAAGAGAUGAGUGCUCUGAAAAGAAAAAAAAAGAGAAAAAAGAAGAAAAGAAAAAAAAUAAUAAAUAAUAAACGAGGAAAUAAAAAGGGGCAAGUGCCCGGAACCUCGAAAGAAAGAAAAAGUGAGACGAGAGGUAAAAAUGGACAAGUGUCUGACAGUAGAAUUAGGGGUACAAGAUACCCACCUGAGAGGAAAGAAAAAAAUGAAAGAUAGAGCAUCUCAUUCUCCUCAUAAAGUUUCAAAAAGCAAGUAAAGUAUGUAUCCCCUCAAAAGAGAAAAAGUAGAAUUAGACUUUCACCAUUGUUAUCACCAUCAUCACCAUACACCAUUCAUUCACCACACAUGCAUAUCUUGAUUUGGCUUAUUGAUUUGUUUCUUUGGAUCCAUGGUUUGACUAUGCAAUAAAUGUCUUGUAAGAAUGUAUACUUUAUCUCCCACCUAUGAGCUCUAGAUAUUAAAGCCUUAUUAGAGUAGGGUGAGAGAGAAGGAAAUGUCACUAUGCCUUAUACCACAAAUACCACAUAUCUUGAGAGAAGGCAUAUACCAUCACUGCCUUGGUAAGGAUCCAGAAAUACCACAAAAGAGAGAUUUAGAGAGUCAUAUAAGGAAUCUCUGAGUUUUAUUUGAAAAUCUGCAAAAACUCCAGAGCUAUAGCUGAUCAAGAAUAAGAGACAUGGCACAUGGCUAGACUGUUCUAUCUUUUAACUACUCAAGACAGAAGUGACGGUUACAAGUCCCAUGGUGAAAGGUAAAGUAAGUAAGUUUUAGUUCUUGACAGUUUACUCUAACUCAGAGAUGCGAUCUUAUUUAAAAUCAUGUGUACCGUCAAAUUUUUAAGAUAUUGCAACAACUUCUGAUACAUUGCUGAGUCUAUCCUUGCUCAGGGAAGAGCAAGAGGUAAGCUUGGGGGAGUUUGUUGACGGUCCUUAAGUAUCAAAUUUAAUUAUCAAAUAAACAAAGAAAAGGAUCCAAAUGAAAUCAAUAUCUAGACUUAGGGUUUUAUCUGACAGAAUUCCAUGAGUUUUGGUGUUUGUCUAUUUCUGCAGGGGGUUAUCAGGAAAUACGGAAGAAAGGCCCACACGUCGGGAUUACAUAGAGAUAUUAACGUGCCGCGCAAUUAUCUUACAUCUAGAAGACUCCAGAAGCCACAGGAAGGAAGCGGAGGCCGAACGGGGCCAGAGGCAGGGCGCCCGCCCUCCUGUCCUGGGCGCCCACCCACCUCUGGAGCCCAAUCGGGACUCUUUCUCUCGGGAGAUCUCCACCGACCUAAAGGAUCAAGAAUAACCGUUCAAUCAAUGUCGGUUUGAUCCGACGGCCUAGGUUCACUUGAGGGGACUAUAUAACCAGACCCCUGGCCCCUGGAGGAGGCACCCCUUGAUCAUUAUUCAUUAUUCAUAGACAGAGCAAAAGCUAGGGUUUAGAGAUGAGAGCUCUCCUCUCUUCUCUAAACUAGAGUAGAUCUAGAUAGUAGCAAGAUGGAGAGCGAAGGAGGAUUAGAGGAGAGGCCGGCCUGUCGGUUCUUCCUCCGGUCCUUAAGUAUCAAAUUUAAUUAUCAAAUAAAUAAAGAAAAGGAUCCAAAUGAAAUCAACAUCUAGACUUAGGGUUUUAUCUGACAGAAUUCUACGAGUUUUGGUGUUUGUCUAUUUCUGCAGGGGGUUAUCAGGAAAUACGGAAGAAAGGCCCACAUGUCGGGAUUACAUAGAGAUAUUAACGUGCCGCGCAAUUAUCUUACAUCUAGAAGACUCCAGAAGCCACGAGACCGAAGCGGAGGUGAAACGGGGCCUGACCCUGGGCGCCCGCCCAGUUGGUCAGGGCGCCCGCCCUGCCUCUGAGUCCAAUCAGGACUCUGCUUCGCGGGAGAUCUCCACCGACCUAAAGGAUGAAUCUAAACCAUACAAUCUAUGUCGGUUUGAUCCAAUGGCCCAUAUUCACUUGAAGGGAAAAUAAAACCAGACCCCCUGGCCCCUGGAGGAGGGAGCCUCUCAACCCUAAUUCAAUGUUCCAUCAAGGGAGAAGAAGCCUCUGAUCAAGAUUAGAGCCACCACAUCAAUUAGACAUCUAGAUUAGCAUAGCUACAUAGGAUUAGAACUAGAAGGAGUCAAUCUUCGAUUGGUUUCCGGAUCUGUCAAGAGGAUUCUUGGUAAUUCUCUAAUUGUGCUUCUAAUUGCUUUCUAAUUAUCUUUGUUCUUCAAUAUUAUGAAUAUGACUUUGUUCUACUUCAAUAUAUUGCUUAUGACUUUGCUCUACUUGCUUAUAUUCAAGAUUAUAUUGUUCUUAGUUUAUCAUAGUUAUAUACUUGGCUUAGUUAGAUUGGAUCUAUAUACAUGCUUAGGAUCGUAUAGCGUUUAUCCAUCGGAUCCAUGGGUAAAUGAUAGAUAUUGUGUAGGCGUGGUGCUUAUACCGUAUUUAUCUACGAUUGUACCCAAUAUGCCAGAUCGUGGGGUGGUUCGUGAUAGUGACAGCUUCAUUGAUUCUUAUAUAGUCCCCCUCUCGUGUAUUGGGCUGGCAGAGCAACAUUAUUACAGGGGAGUGAUUGCUAUGUUUCUCAUAUUCCUUGCUAAUAUCACUAUGCAUGGGCGUAGUCUUGUCUCGCAAUGAUUGCUAAGUAUGUUUGCACUAACUAUGAUAAUGCUAGACUAUAUAGUUGAGAAUAACUUAGGAAAUAUUCUUGUAGUUCGUUCGAAUACCAUGCUAAUGACUUUCUAGAGUAUCUAAUUGAGGUGCUUAUCAUAUUUAUUAUGUGGCUAGAUCAGAUUAGUUAUCCUUGUCACUAUUAUUAUUUCAUAUAUCUUUUAUGUGACACUUAUCCCUGUAUGAAGAGUUAGAUAUAAUGUUCUCAAUUACAUAUGCAAUGAUAGAUGCUCAAUCUCAUAUUCUAUUCUGUAAUCAAUAUUGAUGAUUGCUAAUCCCUUCCCAGUGGUAAAAAUAUAAAUAACGAUACCUGGAAUACUUCCCGGUUAAAAUGCUGCAUCAGUAUUAAUCUGUGCGCUUGCAGAUUCCAUUCAUUAUUUAUUUAGAAGAGCAAUUGCAUAUUUCAAUACCGCGUCUCUUAUAUCAUGCUGGGGAUGACAACUUGGCUUAAGUGUUGUGAGGGAUAGGUUUGGCAUUUUUGGCACCGUUACUAGAUUUAGAGAACUUAGUCUACUUUUGGUAAUGAUGUUAAGAAUACCCAACAAGCAUUUUUGGCGCCGUUGCCGGGGAAGGUUGAUUACUAAUCAGGAAUGGAAUAAAAGAUUUUGAGUUAUCAUUCGCAUCACUAAUAUGAUUGAGCUUAUCUAUUCUCUCAUACAGUUUUACCCCGAUAUUUUCCUAUUUCAUCUUAUGCAGGGGAAUGUAUGAAUAUAAGACAUCUUCCAGGGAAUUUUGUUGACAAUCCCGAAGCAUUAUUCAAGAAGACGAGAGCCAAGCUAAAGAAAUCAUCAACACUUCAGCAAGAAGCUUCAUCCAAUCAAGAAGGUCACCGGAACUUGUCUUCAGAGUUCGAAGCCAUGGCGAACAAAUCAAUCCGCGAGUUCUCAGCUCCCACUACGGACAACAUCCGCACUGGACCUGCUGCAGAGAUUGAUGGCAACUUUGAGCUCAAGCCUGGACUUAUCAACAUGGUGCAAUCCACCCAGUUCUGUGGGAAGGCACACGAAGAUGCUAGUGCUCAUUUACAACACUUCCUGGAGAUUUGCAACACAUUCACCAUAUCAGGAGUUUCCAAAGAUGCUAUACUACUUCGCCUCUUCCCAUUCUCACUGUUAGGAAGAGCGAAGCAGUGGUUCUAUGCUACAAAGGAGAAGAAUACUACGUGGGCACUCUGCUCAACAAACUUCCUGGCUAAGUUCUUUCCCAUGGGCAAGACCAAUGCUCUCCGUGGGAAGAUUACAAGUUUUCAGCAACAAAAUGAUGAAUCUGUUCCAGAAGCAUGGGAGCGCUUUCAAGACUACAUCCUAGAAUGUCCCCAUCAUGGAAUAGAGAGUUGGCUACUAAUGCAGACGUUUUAUCAUGGGCUCGGCAAUAGUGCCUGAGAGACCAUGGAUGCUGCAGCUGGAGGAGCAUUCUUAUCACUUACUAUACAACAAGCCACAGCUCUUGUGGAGAAGAUGGCGUCCAAUCAAAGCUGGAAUGAAGAGAGGACCCAGACACGCAAGAGAGGUGGAGGUAUGCAUCAGCUGAAGGAGGUAGACAUGCUGUCUGCAAAGCUAGACCUGCUCAUGAAGAAGCUCGACGAUAGAGCUGGAGAUAAGAAAGAAGUUAUGCACAUCUACGACUCUCACAUGACUUGUGAGGAGUGUGGAGACACUGGACACUCAGGCAACCACUGCCCUGAGAUACUUGAGGAUGUGAACUACAUCAACAACAACUACUACUACUACUACAACCGUCCUCAACCAAAUCAAGGUUGGAAUCAACAGAGGCCUAACUACUCAGGUAAUUAUCAAGGUAACAAUUCUUACAACAAUAAUAAUAAUUUUCCACCUUUGAGAGAGUUAGUGUCUAAUCAAGGAAAGUUAAUGGAUAACCUAUCUAAGAAAUUGGCAUCUAAUGAUAAAAUGCUAGAAAAUAUAAAUAAUAGAAUGGAUAAUUUCUCUACUGCCAUCAAGAAUCAAAUUAGCUUUAAUAAAAUGAUUGAAUCUCAGUUAAAUCAAAUUGCUGCUGCUGUUCUUGCUACUAACCCCGGUAUACCAUCACAACCGGAAGGAUUAGAAUCUGCAAAUCUUGUAGACAUGUUUGAUGCAGGUAAUUGGAGUAACCCCGUCACUGAAUUCUCUGCUGACCUUCUGUCGAUCAAGAGAGGCGAUCCAGGACGCCCCGUCAUCCCGAUCUCCAUCGGCAUGAUGGACGUCCCAGAAGCACUCUGUGACUUUGGCUCCAGUGUCAACAUUAUACCCAGGGUACUCUAUGAAAAAUUCUUUACAUAUCCUUUAUUAGAAACAACCAUGUGUUUGCAGUUUGCAGAUCAGACGAUAACUUUUCCAAAAGGAAUAGUGAAGAACCUUUGUGUCCGAGUUGGUACCUUAUAUGCCCCAGUAGACUUCGUAGUGGUAGAGACCGGAAAUGAUGAGAGAGCACCUAUCAUCUUAGGGAGGCCAUUCUUGAACACCACGGGAGCUAUCAUCUACGCUAGUGCUGCUAAGAUCAGUUUCUACGUCAAAGGGAGGAAGGAGACAUUUUUCUUCAAGAACAAGACUACACAAAUUCCAGAUCAAUCCAGACGUGAAUCAAGGAAGAGGACCAACAGGAGGAACAGGAACAAGCAAGUGUGGACCAAGUCAGCUAAGAUGGUCACUGUAGUUCAUGGAGGCCAAGAUCACCAACUUAAGUCACCGCUUUUGACCAAGAAGGACGACCCAGGAAUGCCAAGCAUUUACUGCUCCAUAAAUGGAUACAAUUUCUACAAGACAUUUUGUGACACCGGAUCGGGUGUCAACAUAAUGGCCGCAGUCACCUAUCGGCUGUUGUUCGGGACCAUGCCACUAAGACCAACAUACAUUUAGCUCCAGAUAGCAGAUCAGACAUUUCGAGAAGUUAAAGGAAUAAUAACUGAUGUCCCAGUCUAAAUAGACGAUCACUUUGUCUACACAGACUUUCAAGUUAUUGACAUGGGAGAAGAUGAGUAUGAUCCACCCAUCAUCCUUGGAAGACCGUUCCUCAGCACCGUUAAAGCAAUUAUCUACAUUGGAACCGGAGAAGUCCAUAUGCACUUCCCCUCAGAGAAGGUACGCCGUUAUUUUACUGACCCUAACUACAUCGUUGAAGAAUCUAAGCAGGUCAGAAAGAGACGCAACCGCAACCAGAGGAGGCAGAUCAUCAAGGACGGAUGGGCAGACUAUGAAGGAGAAGUUGUAAGAUUAGAAGACGUUGAGUUUAAACAAAAUUAUCCAGAGGAGAUUGAAGCACCAAGUCAGGUGUGGAGAAAUGAAGAUAACUAUACACGAAGAGGAGGCGCUGCCGGAAGUACCGACUACGCCACCCAACGAACCUCAGGACGAUUAAGAAAAUGGAGAGUCCUGUUCGGAGGACUUAAAAACACCGAACGCCUUGGCAAGAGGUAAACUUGGUAGUUAUCCUUUCUCUUUUAAUUGUUUCAAAUAGUUUACUUAGUUAAUCAUGUUCGUACUAUCUUAAAAAGAAAAUAAAAAUAUGAAAAAAAAGUAAGCCCCAUGUGAGUAUACAAGUGGCAUAAAACCCAUAAGUACAUUCACUGUGGUGGCAUAAAAAUAAAAUAAAUAUUUCAUUUCUGCUUUAUAAAAUGAAAAUAUAAAAAUAGGGAGUAAUAAUUAUUAAGGAGUCUCAACAUGAUAAAGGCUAGAUAUUUAUGCUAACACUUAAUCAGUUCCACAAGCUUUGUUGUCUAUUUGAGCGACACACAAUUUAAGAAUCAAGAAGACUAGCAGACGGAGGACAUUCUAAUCGCUGUCAGAAUGCUGCUGACUUUCAAAUACACCUCUGCCACCUGCUAGCUACAUCAAGAGAAAUUACGUCAAAAUUCAGCUUGGGGGAGAGCACCCCCAUUUAUCUCGAUAAGUAAUUCUAUCUAUCUAUCUAUCUUUACACUCAUAUUAUUUUAGAAUAUAAAUAUAUAUAACUAUGAAAAAAACCAAAUAAAGAUUUUUAUGCUUAUAUAUAUAUGUCUUUUGCUUAGUGUGUUUAAUAAAUAAAUAAAGUGGCUAUGCUAAUCUGUAUCUUAAUAAUAAAACUCAAGCAUGGAUAUGAUGAAUAGUUGCUCUACCUAAUUUGCACAUUUUAAGUUUUCUCUCAAGUUUAGAUAUAACUGUUAUAAUUUAAAGCUUGCUCUAGACCUAAACUUGUGGGAUGAAAACUUGAUCUGAAGUCUAAGUUGUUAACGGAUACGAUAUGGGAAGGUUGAGCUGCUGUUUAUCUGUUCCUAGAGAUGCUAGAAUUCUGGAGAAUUUUAUCUUUGAAAAUCUUUAAAAUGUUGCAUGAUGAGUUCCUGUAUGAUGAGAGUUUAAAUUCCUACCACAGCCAUAUAUACAUGCUUGCUAGACUUUGAGCCACACAUUUACUAUUUACUGCUUAUGAGCAUUGAGUGUGGUCAAGCUGUGUAGACCCUUAGGAACUUGUCAUGUGGUUAAAUCAAGAUUUCACUUGCACGUUCACUCAUAUAUGCUACUUCUACUCUGGAAGUACCAUCCACAUAUAUCCAUCCAUUUCCAUCUCCAGAACCACCUAAAAAUAUUCUACUCCUAAUCCAGGAGAGAAUAACCAAAAAUAUUUUUUGUUUUUCCCUUGUGAAAUAAAUGCUCAAGUUAUCUUGUUACUACCACUUGCUAUAUUAUCUCAUGAGAUGAGUGCUCUAAAAAAAAGGAGAGAAAUACGAGGAAAUAAAAAGGAGCAAGUGCUCGGAACCUCGAAAGAAAAGAAAAAGUGAGACGAGAGGUAAAAAUGGACAAGUGUCCGACAGUAGAAUUAGGGGUGCAAGAUACCAACCUGAGAGAAAAGAAAAAGAAGAGCAUCUCAUUCUCCUCAUUAAGUUUCAAAAAGCAAGGAAGGUAUGUAUCCCCUCAAAGAGCAAAAGUAGAAUUAGACUUCCACCACCAUUGUUUCCACCAUUGUUAUCACCAUCACCACCAUACAUCAUUCAUUCGCCACACAUGCACAUCUUGAUUAAACUUACUGGCUUGUUUCUUUGGAUCCAUGGUUUGACUAUGCAAUACAUGUCUUGUAAGUAUGUAUACUUUAUUUUCCACCUAUGAGCUCCAGAUAUUAAAGCCUUGUUAGAGUAGGGUGAGAGAGAAGGCAAUGUCACUAUGCCUUAUACCACAAAUACUACAUAUCUUGAGAGAAGGCAUAUACCAUCACUGCCUUGGUAAGGAUCCAGAAAUACCACAAAAGAGAGAUCUGAGAGAGUCAUACAAGGAAUCUCUGAGUUUUAUUUGAAAAUCUACAAAAACCCCAGAGCUAUAGCUGAUCAAGAAUAAGAGACAUGGCACUUGACUAGACUGUUCUAUCUUUUAACCACUCAAGACAGAAGUGACAGUUACAAGUCCCAUGGUGAAGGUAAAGUAAGUAAGUUUUAAGUCUUGACAGUUUACUCUAACU